AGUGAACGCUGGCGGUAGGCCUAACACAUGCAAGUCGAACGGCAGCACAGUAAGAGCUUGCUCUUACGGGUGGCGAGUGGCGGACGGGUGAGGAAUACAUCGGAAUCUACUUUUUCGUGGGGGAUAACGUAGGGAAACUUACGCUAAUACCGCAUACGACCUACGGGUGAAAGCAGGGGAUCUUCGGACCUUGCGCGAUUGAAUGAGCCGAUGUCGGAUUAGCUAGUUGGCGGGGUAAAGGCCCACCAAGGCGACGAUCCGUAGCUGGUCUGAGAGGAUGAUCAGCCACACUGGAACUGAGACACGGUCCAGACUCCUACGGGAGGCAGCAGUGGGGAAUAUUGGACAAUGGGCGCAAGCCUGAUCCAGCCACACCGCGUGGGUGAAGAAGGCCUUCGGGUUGUAAAGCCCUUUGUUGGGAAAGAAAAGCAGCAGGUUAAUACCCCGCUGUUCUGACGGUACCCAAAGAAUAAGCACCGGCUAACUUCGUG
rnacentral:rRNA from 1 species